rnacentral:lncRNA from 1 species
GAGUACAGCAUGGAUGGCCUGGAGGCCAGGUUGACCUUGAACUCACAAUGCAGUUAAAGAGGAAGAUUUUGAAUUCAUGGUCUUCCUGCCUCGACCUUCUAAGUUCUAGGAUUAUAGACCUGCACAACCACAGCCCACUGCUACCCUUGCCUUUUCAGAAAUUCAUUCAACUGGAGUGUCAGCUUCUGAAUCUAUGGAGAGAGGAUAACCACAGCCCAUUUUACAGGAUUUUGCAUUUCUCGUUUCGGAUGGAUAGAGUUGUCCCUCAGUACCACACUGACACCAAGUCUGACUUCAGUCAGCAGGGAAUUGCUAUCAGUAGGUGAUUGCCAACUGGCUCUUGAGCUAGAGAGGUACCUGCUAAUGUCACUGCCCCUUAAUGAUGUCUGUUCUUUUGUCCUUGCAGGAGAAUGGCAUAGUCUAUAGGUUUCUUUCAUAUUCUGGCUACAAGUAUGUCUCCUCCACUUAAUGGAGCUCAUGAGGGUUAUACAGGACAUCUACAUUUUGCGUGUUAUUUCCUAGCUGGUAUUUGUUAAGCACCUAGAACAGUCCACUGUUACAAAUGCUUUGUGUGUGUUAGUUUCCCUGCCCCUCAAGACGACCUUAUGAGGUGGAACCACAACCAUUUGCAUUUUACAAAUGACACAGCUAACUGACUUACUCAUCAUUGCAAUGCCAGUAAGGAAGAGAAACACCAUUCAACCUGAGCCAACUUCUGAGCCCCGGCUUCAUCCUGUGUACCAGAGACAUUUGUCUGAAAAGCCUUGGACAGACAUCCGGGCAGCAGCCCUGAAGGGAAGACAGGCUGCCAAGGUUUUGCAGCUAGUUUGCAGAAUAUACACAAACAGAAGGUGCACCAUGAUUUCUAGUGGGACCCCCCCCAAAAAAUACCAUUUCCUCUUCCCCAGAAAGAAACAGUUCACCUACACACCGAGCUUAUCUCUAAACUAGCCUGCAUUAUAACUAAUUAACUUUUCUUCCCUUAUCUUCCUCUCUCUAAUCUUUUUUAUCUUUAUCUCUUUCCCACUAUUAUCUAUGUUACUGUAAUUAAUCUAUUACCACCUCUGAUUUAUGCAUGUAUAUGUAUAUCAGUCAUCUAUUACCCGUGUUUCUGUUCAGCGGUAGAGUGGGUGGAGUCUUCUAGCUUUGACCGUCUCCCCAGCUGGGGGCUGUUUACCUAUGCAAAGGUGAUGGCUGUCUAAUGUAAGAAUGUUUUUCUUUUUGGUAAGAUGCAGCAUUCAGCAUGAGCUGAUUUACAUGGCCUGUUUAAAUUUUAAAUGAUCAAAUUCUUCAUAAUGUUGUAAAUUAACACAAUUAUGCUAGGAAACCUCGCUCUCUUCCCUCUUGCAUCUGUGCCUCGAUCAGGAAUCAUAGCACUUCCAGGGGAGUCAGGGAUUUAAACACAUCUCUACGGCUGCUCUUAAAACAGUCAAUCAACGUUUAUUGAGUGUCUAAGGCUCUAGGGAGGGCACAGAUCCAGUCAUGCUCCGAUCCUGAAGGCUUCCUUCUAGUAAGGGAAAUAAUAAGUUUGACCAGAAAUGUGUCCAAGUCCCGCAGUGACCGUCAUGAGAGCAGAGCCCAGAGAUAGCAUGAAGAUGUUCUAACCAUUGAGGUUGCAUCUCCUUUAUGCGAGGGGGGUGUGUGUGUCAUGUAGCUGACAUCCUGCAUACCACAUUAUUUACAUUAUAAUUCAGGACAGUAGACACUGAAAUAAUUUUGUGAGCAGGGCUCACCACAGCAUGAGGCGCUAUAUUAAAGGGUUGCAGCAUUAGGAAGGUUGAGAACCACUCUUGUAGCUGAUGACUUCCUAGGUUCAAAUCCUGUCCCCUUCAUUAGUUAUUGACCUUGGGGGAGUUACUUAGCUGUUCUAGACUCAGCUUCCCUCACUGUAAAAUGGGAUUAGCAAUAGUCCCUAUUACAGCAGAUUGUGGUGUUUAUGUGGCUGAAACGAAAGAGUAACUGGUAUAAAGUAGUUAGGACAAUGCUAUUAACACAUGGAAAGAACUCUAUAACUAUUGUUUUUAUCUUCACAUUCUUGUCACUGGACAUGUGUCAUGGGGCAUCUGGAGGACAGAGGACAAAGGACAACUUGUGGGAAGCAGCUCUCUCCUUCCACCACGUGGGUCCUAGGGAUCAAAUAGUGUGUCCGGCUGUUACAAAUACCUUUGUCAGCUGAGCCUUCUUGCUGCUCUAUGAUUUGUUUACCCCACGCAGCACAACUAACGUUGAAGUGCAGUAGGAUUCCAGAUUCAGUGAGCCUGCUGCACCCCCAGGGGAGUGCGGAAGGCACUUCAGGUGAGCUGUGUCCUGACAAGCUGGCGUAUGCUGCUUCUCUCUAACCUCUUGAUGCAUGAACCUUGGGGUGUUGGGGUGAUAGGAAAAGCCUAAAGGUUCAGAGAGAAUGCAUGUGUUAGACUCAAAGGAAGCACAUGCUCUGCCACCCAGGUGUGUCUGCUGUCUGUCCUUAUGUUUUGGCUAUUAGACUCAGGUGUAUGUAGGAACCACAGGACACAGAGUGGGGUUCACUGGAGCCCUCUGAUCUCCUAAAUGUUACUUGACAGAGAGGGUCCUCACUCAAUUUUCUGCUUUAAUUCAUGUCGUACAACUUGUUCUUUCGGUGUGGUGUUGUGCUGUCAUAACAGAGUACUUCCAGCCUCAGUUUCCCCAUCACUGAAUGUGGUGAUAGCUGAGAACCAGAACAAUGACUGAUGUUUACUGAGGAUAUCCAUGUGCACUGGACCCUCAUUCUUAGAUUGCAUCUUACUGGGUAUCCACACUUGGUUCCUCUUUUAUAGAAGGUGCCAGUGAGAUGAUGAGGAGGUCAAGGCCAUAGCUCAGAAAGAUGGAGCAUUGACUAGGCAAAGCUUGAUGCAACCCUUGUAGGAGUUCCAUGCACUAAGCCUGAUGCAGAGUGGACUCUCUGGCUAAUAUAUAUGGUAUAUAAGGUGUAUAUAUAUGGUAUAUAUAGUAUAGAUGGCAUAUAUGGUAUAUGUAGGAUAUGUGGUAUAUAUGGUAUGUAUGUCUAUAGACAUAUUUAUGUAUGUAUAUGUACAUACAUAUGUAUGUAUAUAUACAUAUAUAUAUUAUAUAUAUAUAUUGCUAACACAGUGUAGAUAAGAAGGGUUAGGUUGAGAUUUGAAAAUAAACUUUGUUUUAAACAACUUAUGUUCAUUGUUGAGAGCAACAAAGAGUUGAGUGUGUUCUAUUCCUAUCCACUUCAGAACC